CAGCCUCUUGAGAGAACUUUUCAGAAUG
rnacentral:piRNA from 1 species